UGAGGAAAAGUUAGUAGUUAAUACCUGCUAGCCGUGACGUUAACAACAGAAGAAGCACCGGCUAACUCCGUGCCAGCAGCCCGCGGUAAUACGGAGGGUGCGUAGCGUUAAUCGGUAAUUACUGGGCUGUAAAGCAGCACGCAGGCGGUUUGUUAAGCUAGAUGUGAAAGCUCCCGGGCUCAACCUGCGGACGGUCAUUUAGAACUGGCAGACUAGAGUCUUGGAGAGGGGAGAUGGAAUUCCAGGUGUAGCGGUGAAAUGCGUAGAUAUCUGGAGGAACAUCAGUGGCGAACGCGACUCCCUGGCCAAAGACUGACGCUCAAGUGCGAAAGUGUGGGUAGCGAACAGGAUUAGAUACCCUGGUAGUCCACACCGCAAACGCUGUCUACUAGCUGUUUGUGGCUU
rnacentral:rRNA from 1 species